UACGAAGGGGGCUAGCGUUGCUCGGAAUCACUGGGCGUAAAGCGCACGUAGGCGGAUUGCUAAGUCAGGGGUGAAAUCCUGGAGCUCAACUCCAGAACUGCCUUUGAUACUGGCGAUCUUGAGUCCGGGAGAGGUGAGUGGAACUGCGAGUGUAGAGGUGAAAUUCGUAGAUAUUCGCAAGAACACCGGUGGCGAAGGCGGCGACCUGGGUCGAUACUGACGCUGAGGUGCGAAAGCGUGGGGAGCAAACAGG
rnacentral:rRNA from 1 species